rnacentral:snoRNA from 1 species
GGGCUGUGCUCAGAGCAGGGGGCCUGAGGAGUGGCUCCUCUGUUUACAGCACAGCCAAUAGCAAUCCCGGGUCAUUGUGACAAAGGGUGGCACAGAAAUUGUGGCUUCCCUGAAAACAAAUGGCCUACACUC